AUCCAGCUGACGAGUCCCAAAUAGGACGAAACGCGCGUCCUGGAG
rnacentral:hammerhead_ribozyme from 1 species